CUGGUUAAACAUAAUAGGUUUAAAGAGAAUGUAGCAGCCGCUGUUCUAUAACAAGGAGAACCCUAACCCCAGUUCAUCACACCUAGAAGCAGAAACGUCGACCCCUUCUAACGUAUGUAACGGUCCGGGCUUUAAGGUAACUCCUCGCCCUUGUCGUCUGGUAUUUCAGAAGUGUGAAUUUGUGGGUUAUUUAUAUUGUAAUGCCGCUGUGUGUUGCUAUGAUUCAUUGUUUGAUUAAUUGUAAGGUGGGGGUUAUGAGUGGGGGAGAGAUCUGGAUUACCUCGGAACAAAGACACCGCGGGAUAAGGAGGAAGAGUUCCGGUGCUUUGAUGAGGGUGAUUACCCUUGGGAUGCGCACUGAAGAGGGAAUUGUGUAGGUGGCGUACAGUAGAACUGGAAAAAAGGCGAUGAGUGAUGCAGACCCUAACCGAUAUUGUGUUGUU